UCUGAAAGAAUUUGGAUAAAAUAUAUCCUUUGUGGGGUGGAUACCAAGGGAGGAAUAAAAAGAUUGAAGCAACACUGGGUUGGUGGCUAUGGAGAUGUAGCCAAGUGCACAAAGACAACUGUAGCAAUUGCUACAGAGAUGAGAGAAGCAAUCUUGAAAAACAAGAAGAGGAGGAUGGAAAAUUUGGAUGAUUUGGAUGUUGGUAGUGAAGAUUUACCUA